UGCGUAGGCGGGCUAAUAAGUCAGUGGUGAAAUCUCUCGGCUCAACCGGGAAACUGCCAUUGAUACUGUUAGUCUUGAGUUCGGUUGGGGUAGGCGGAAUGUGUAAUGUAGCGGUGAAAUGCUUAGAUAUUACACAGAACACCAAUUGCGUAGGCAGCUUACUAGACCGACACUGACGCUGAGGCACGAAAGCGUGGGGAGCGAACAGGAUUAGAUACCCUGGUAGUCC
rnacentral:rRNA from 1 species